rnacentral:rRNA from 1 species
GUCGGCAGUGGCAGACGCGAAACCAAGUGAUCUACCCUUGGCCAGGUUGAAGGCUGGGUAACACCAGCUGGAGGACCGCACCAAUAAGCGUUGAAAAGCUUCUGGAUGAGCUGAGGGUAGGGGUGAAAGGCUAAUCAAACUUGGAGAUAGCUCGUACUCCCCGAAAUGCAUUUAGGUGCAGCCUUGCGGGUUACUGAUGUGAGGUAGAGCGACUGAUAAGAUGCGAGGGCUUCACCGCCUAUCAAGUCUUGACAAACUCCGAAUGCGCAUCAGUUCUACCGCAGGAGUGAGGGCAUGGGUGCUAAGGUCCGUGCCCGAGAGGAGAAGAAUCCGGACCACCUGCUAAGGUCCCGAAAUGACAGCUAAGUUAAACUAACGAAGUCUGACUGCUAAGACAGCUAGGAUGUUGGCUUGGAAGCAGCCAUUCAUUUAAAGAGUGCGUAACAGCUCACUAGUCGAGGAGUCGGGCGUGGAUAAUAAUCGGGUAUGAAGUUGUCUACCGAAGCAGUGGGAUCAUUGAUAUGAUCGGUAGGGGAGCAUUCCAGUCAGCGUCGAAGGCGUACCGUGAGGUAUUCUGGAGCGUCUGGAAAAGCAAAUGUAGGUAUAAGUAACGAUAAAGGGGGCGGGAAACCCCCUCGCCGAAAGACUAAGGUUUCCUGAUCAACGCUAAUCGGAUCAGGGUCAGUCGGGUCCUAAGGCUCAGCCGAACGGCGAUGCCGAUGGCAGAAACGGUUAAUAUUCCGUUACUACCUUCAGGAGUGACGUGGAGACGCAGUAGUGACAGUGCCGCCAUCUGACGGAAUAGAUGGUUGAAGGGUGUAGGAGUCGAUCAUGGCAGGCAAAUCCACCAUGAGAUCCGAACCUGAUAGUAUGCCGCGUCCUUCGGGACAAGGCAAUAGUGCGCGUAAGCAUGCUGCCGAGAAAAUCCGCUAAACUUAAUCCUGCAGGUACCCGUACCGCAAACGGACACACGUAGUCGGGAUGAAUAUUCUAAGGCGCUUGAGUGAUUCACGGUUAAGGAACUAGGCAAACUGACCCUGUAACUUCGGGAUAAAGGGUCCCUACCCUUUUAUGGGAGGGCGCAGAGAAUCGGUCCAGGCAACUGUUUAACAAAAACACAGGGCUGUGCCAAAUCGAAAGAUCCAGUAUACAGCCUGACACCUGCCCGGUGCUGGA